AUUAAAAGAAGUUCAAAGUAGCCGCCUCGAUUCCCAAAGUGUCUCAGGGAAGGAAAAAAAAAAAAGGGUUUUUCAUUUGUUUGUUUGUUUAUAACAAAGUGAAAGAAAGAAAAGAAAGAAGACAGCAAGAAUGGAAGAAAGAAAGACAGAAAGAUAACACAAAAUAUGAAAUGACCCAGCCAGCAAAGAUGCUUACCACCAAGCCUGACUACCUGAGUUCUGUCU
rnacentral:lncRNA from 1 species